GUAUUUAUAGACACGUAGUAGAUCUCUCAUCUCGAUUUAUAAAGAAGACAGAUUUACCAUUCAACGAGAGAGGAAUUGUAGAAAAAGACACUAUGAUGAUCAAACUGGUUAUAAUAAGUUGCCUAAUCCUGGCAAAUGGAUUAAAUGUUGACUCACAACCAAAUAGACGACAAGAUGGAAGAUUUGACAGG